rnacentral:rRNA from 1 species
GACGAACGCUGGCGGCGUGCUUAACACAUGCAAGUCGAACGGAAAGGCCCUGCUUGCAGGGUACUCGAGUGGCGAACGGGUGAGUAACACGUGGGUGAUCUGCCCUGCACUUCGGGAUAAGCCUGGGAAACUGGGUCUAAUACCGGAUAGGAGCCAUUUUUAGUGUGAUGGUUGGAAAGUUUUUUCGGUGUAGGAUGAGCUCGCGGCCUAUCAGCUUGUUGGUGGGGUAAUGGCCUACCAAGGCGGCGACGGGUAGCCGGCCUGAGAGGGUGGACGGCCACAUUGGGGCUGAGAUACGGCCAGACUCCUACGGGAGGCAGCAGUGGGGAAUAUUGCACAAUGGGCGCAAGCCUGAUGCAGCGACGCCGCGUGGGGGAUGACGGCCUUCGGGUUGUAAACUCCUUUCGCUAGGGACGAAGCUUUUUGUGACGGUACCUAGAUAAGAAGCACCGGCUAACUACGU